CUUGCUUAUAGAGCAAGCUGUGCAUCGCUUGUGGGUCUUUCGUCUUUGCUGAUCUUCACUUCGCUGAGACAGCAGAGAACUUCUGCCACCGUCACACCUGUGAAUGGAACUGCCGAUGUCCAGACAACACAGACCGGAGUUGCUCCAAAGAACCAUUUCCAAACAGCGUGGCGCAUAGAGUAGGCACCUUCUGAGGUCAUUGCUACAUGGAAAGAUAUGGACGAAACGAAGCAGCCCCUUCAUAACCCAGCCUCGAGGAACACUUUGGGAAACACUAAGGCACAUGAGUGAGGGAGAAAUAUCAACAGUGUUGUCGCUGCUGAUUUAAGAAGCUGUGCUAUCAGACGAUUUGUGCACGUGGCUGCUGCUGAUCUUGCCACAAGGGGGCGCUGCCGGAGGCCACCGAAGCUGGUUUUAAAAGCUCUGAUGCAAAAAACAAUUCCAGAGGGAAGCUCACGUGUCUUUAAGUCCUACAGGUUUUGAUGUCGGCAGAAGCCAAAUACCCUGCCUUUUAUGACAACGGCAUUGAUGACUCCGUUUCCCCCAGCACGAGGGUGAAGAAGACCAGCAAUCUCCCUCCCCGCCGUCACUUCUGCGCAGAAUCGUUUCCUCUCAGAUGGAAGCGAUUUUUCAUUAGCGUAAAUGGAUGCAUGUUUUAUAAACACGGGCCAUGUGUUUCAUAUUCCAUUCAUGUUUAUUUACACAUCCUGUAAACACGUGUAUACAAAGCCACACGGACACGUGGGGGCGGGGAGGGCAUGGAGCACUACGCAUGGAAAAUACCACACUAGGCGGAUGUCCCUCGGAGGGUAAAUCCACCACCCAAAGAUUCCCAUCUACCUUCUUACUACCUUUGGGGCGGUUGGGGACAGGGGAGGAGGGGAGGGUUGUCCUAUAGGGACUCGGACAUUCAGAUUUUCCUCAGCCUCCUUUCUCCCCUUCAGAUGCCCAGCUUUCUUAAGGCUCCGAUUUAUUGAAAAUAAUAAUAAUAAUAAUAAUAAUAAUAAUAAUAAUAAUAAUAAUAAAGUAUCAAUGAUCUCCAC